rnacentral:rRNA from 1 species
AAGCACCGGCUAACUCUGUGCCAGCAGCCGCGGUAAUACAGAGGGUGCAAACGUUGUUCGGAAUCACUGGGCAUAAAGCGCACGUAGGCUGUCCUGUAAGUGUGGAGUGAAAUCCCACGGCUCAACCGUGGAACUGCUUGGCAUACUGCAGGACUCGAGGACGGUAGGGGAGAGCGGAACUCCUGGUGGAGCGGUGAAAUGCGUAGAUAUCAGGAGGAACACCGGUGGCGAAGGCGGCUCUCUGGUCCGUUUCUGACGCUGAGGUGCGAAAGCCAGGGUAGCGAACGGGAUUAGAUACCCCGGUAGUCCUGGCCGUAAACGAU